GACGAACGCUGGCGGCGUGCUUAACACAUGCAAGUCGAACGGAAAGGCCCCCACUUUUUUGGUGGGGGUGCUCGAGUGGCGAACGGGUGAGUAACACGUGGGUGAUCUGCCCUGUACUUCGGGAUAAGCUUGGGAAACUGGGUCUAAUACCGGAUAGGACCAUGGUUUAGUGUCUCAUGGUGGAAAAAUUAUUGUUUUGGUGCAGGAUGAGCUCGCGGCCUAUCAGCUUGUUGGUGGGGUAAUGGCCUACCAAGGCGUCGACGGGUAGCCGGCCUGAGAGGGUGGACGGCCACAUUGGGACUGAGAUACGGCCCAGACUCCUACGGGAGGCAGCAGUGGGGAAUAUUGCACAAUGGACGCAAGCCUGAUGCAGCGACGCCGCGUGGGGGAUGACGGCCUUCGGGUUGUAAACUCCUUUCGUUAGGGACGAAGCCGCACCUUUUUUGGGUGUGGUGACGGUACCUUUGUGAAGAAGCGCCGGCUAACUACGUG
rnacentral:rRNA from 1 species